UAGGGAAUCUUCCACAAUGGACGAAAGUCUGAUGGAGCAACGCCGCGUGAGUGAAGAAGGGUUUCGGGUCGUAAAGCACUGUUGUAUGGGAAGAACAGCUAGAAUAGGAAAUGAUUUUAGUUUGACGGUACCAUACCAGAAAGGGACGGCUAAAUCGUGCCAG
rnacentral:rRNA from 1 species